rnacentral:rRNA from 1 species
GACAGAGGUCCCGAGCGUUAGGCGGAAUCACUGGGCUUAAAGCGUGUGUAGGCGGAGUGCUAAGUACCUUGUGAAAUCCCACGGCUCACCCGUGGAACUGCUUGGUAUACUGGUUCUCUUGAGCCACUUAGGGGCGAGCGGAACAAACGGUGGAGCGGUGAAAUGCGUAGAUAUCGUUUGGAACGCCAAUGGUGAAAACAGCUCGCUGGGAGUGUGCUGACGCUGAGACACGAAAGCCAGGGGAGCAAACGGG